rnacentral:rRNA from 1 species
UACGGGAGGCAGCAGUGGGGAAUAUUGGACAAUGGGCGAAAGCCUGAUCCAGCCAUGCCGCGUGUGUGAAGAAGGUCUUCGGAUUGUAAAGCACUUUAAGUUGGGAGGAAGGGUAUUAACCUAAUACGUUAGUACUUUGACGUUACCGACAGAAUAAGCACCGGCUAACUCUGUGCCAGCAGCCGCGGUAAUA